UACGUAGGUGACCAGCGUUGUCCGGAUUUACUGGGCGUAAAGAGCGCGCAGGCGGUCGUUCAAGUCGAGUGUGAAAGCCCCCGGCUCAACUGGGGAGGGUCAUUCGAUACUGAUCGACUGGAAGGCAGGAGAGGGAAGCGGAAUUCCCGGUGUAGUGGUGAAAUGCGUAGAUAUCGGGAGGAACACCCGUGGCGAAGGCGGCUCUCUGGGACGGUACUGACGCUGAGACGCGAAAGCGUGGGGAGCGAACAGG
rnacentral:rRNA from 1 species